UACUUGCUUUCUUAUUCUCUUUACGCGCUAUUUGUUUGAGUGUUUUUGUCUGUGUGGUAUACCAUGGAGCACGCCUUACUUGUUUUCUUAUUCUCUUUUUGAGUGGUGCUACUGAAUCAAGGGUUGAGCGUAAUGAGUUCAUCACAUUAUCAGUUAACAAGUCGACCUCGGCUGGAUUAAGGAAAGGGCCUUCUGAUAGGCCUACCACAUGAGUCCGGAAUGGGGCAAGUGUAAGCGAAAUUUUUUCUAGAAAGUCUGCAUUAGUUUUUUCAGAUACGCCGCGGCUGUAGUAUUCAGCUAAAUUAGGUACUGCAUGUUGUAAUGUCAUUGUAAAAGUAAUUAGAUGGUGGUCAGUUAAGGUCGGGUGUUGUGGCAAGAUUGUUAACUGC